rnacentral:rRNA from 1 species
UACGAAGGGUGCAAGCGUUAAUCGGAAUUACUGGGCGUAAAGGGCGCGUAGGCGGAUAUUUAAGUUAGAGGUGAAAGCCCAGGGCUCAACCCUGGAAUAGCCUUUAAUACUGGAUAUCUUGAGUUCGGGAGAGGUGAGUGGAACUCCGAGUGUAGAGGUGAAAUUCGUAGAUAUUCGGAAGAACACCAGUGGCGAAGGCGACUCACUGGCCCGAGUACUGACGCU